rnacentral:rRNA from 1 species
UAAUACGGAGGGUGCGAGCGUUGUCCGGAAUCACUGGGCGUAAAGGGCGCGUAGGUGGCGCGGUGAGUCGGUGGUGAAAGCUCGGGGCUCAACCCCGAGUCGGCCAUCGAUACUGCCGGGCUUGAGCAUCGUAGAGGCAGGUGGAAUUCCGGGUGUAGCGGUGGAAUGCGUAGAGAUCCGGAAGAACACCGGUGGCGAAGGCGGCCUGCUGGGCGAUGGCUGACACUGAGGCGCGACAGCGUGGGGAGCAAACAGGAUUAGAUACCCUGGUAGUCCACGCCGUAAACGAUGGGCACUAGGUGCUUGGGGGAGCGACCCCCCGGGUGCCGGCGCUAACGCAUUAAGUGCCCCGCCUGGGGAGUACGGCCGCAAGGCUG